rnacentral:siRNA from 1 species
CACAACUCUCACUCGACCACCGCC